rnacentral:rRNA from 1 species
AGAGUUUGAUCAUGGCUCAGGAUGGACGCUGGCGGCGUGCCUAACACAUGCAAGUCGAACCGAAGCUUGAGGAAUGAUUUCUUUCGGAAUGAAUUCUGAUAUGACUUAGUGGCGGACGGGUGAGUAACACGCGAGCAACCUGCCUUUCAGAGGGGGAUAACGGCUGGAAACGGUCGCUAAUACCGCAUGAUAUGUUUGGAUGGCAUCAUUUGAACAUCAAAGAUUUAUCGCUGAAAGAUGGGCUCGCGUCUGAUUAGAUAGUUGGUGAGGUAACGGCUCACCAAGUCGACGAUCAGUAGCCGGACUGAGAGGUUGAACGGCCACAUUGGGACUGAGAUACGGCCCAGACUCCUACGGGAGGCAGCAGUGGGGAAUAUUGCACAAUGGGGGAAACCCUGAUGCAGCAACGCCGCGUGAAGGAAGACGGUUUUCGGAUUGUAAACUUCUUUUCUUUGUGAAGAAACAAAUGACGGUAGCAAAGGAAUAAGCAUCGGCUAACUACGUGCCAGCAGCCGCGGUAAUACGUAGGAUGCAAGCGUUAUCCGGAUUUACUGGGUGUAAAGGGAGCGCAGGCGGGACUUCAAGUUGGAUGUGAAAGGUCAAGGCUUAACCUUGGCACUGCAUCCAAAACUGUAGUUCUUGAGUGGAGUAGAGGUAAGCGGAAUUCCGAGUGUAGCGGUGAAAUGCGUAGAUAUUCGGAGGAACACCAGUGGCGAAGGCGGCUUACUGGGCUCUAACUGACGCUGAGGCUCGAAAGUGUGGGGAGCAAACAGGAUUAGAUACCCUGGUAGUCCACACUGUAAACGAUGAUAGCUAGGUGUGGGGGGUCUGACCCCUUCCGUGCCGGAGUUAACGCAAUAAGCUAUCCACCUGGGGAGUA